rnacentral:tRNA from 1 species
AUUUAUAUAGUUUAAUAAAAACCUUACAUUUUCAUUGUAAAAAUAAAAAUCUUUUUUUUUAUAAAUU